rnacentral:lncRNA from 1 species
CCCGUUUCUUGCGCGGUUUCGGCCCAAUGGGAGGCUCGUUAGAUGCAUUUUUUAAUUUAUUAUUAUUAUUAUUUUGCUGAUCCGCCUCCCGCUCCUGUCAGUCGGAGGUCCGUUUACGUUCCGCCCCACGCGGUGGCAGCAGCGGCACGGCUGCGGGCGCGGCAGAGCGGUUGUGCUGCAAAAUGGCCGGGGGAGCGGGUCUGGAUGCUCUGCGUUGUUCUGCCGAUCUGACUGGGGAAAGCAGCGGGAGCACAUGUUAAGAGAUGAAGCUGAAGGCUAUCGAGAGAAAUAUGAGUUCAGAGCAGCUUUCCCCACCCCCCCUCUCCCCUCCCACUUCAGUUUACAGACUCGAAAUGGGUGCAUUCACUUGAGAAAUGUGAACAGGGCUGCAUAUCAUCAGCCAGGCUUCAAGACGUCUUGGCUGCCUUGGUGGUGUAAACUUCAGUAUCGUUCAAUACACACUCACUGGUGAGUGAAUUCACAUAAUAAUUUCUAACAAUUGCCUUUGAUCGAACUCCAUCAGCCUGUAGGAAA